rnacentral:lncRNA from 1 species
GAUCAUGUUUAAGUACAGAAGGUUCUUGAACUUUCAUUGAUGCAGUGGCUCUUCGCUUUGUUGACAAUGAAAUGUUCUACACUUUCUUUAAAAACAAAUGGUUUAAAAACUACCACACUUAACUGAAAAAAAAGCAAAAACAAAAAGUAAAUACUUUUCAAGCCAGCUGACCACCUUUUGUUCACAGCUAGGAAUGGUAGCAGAAUGCUAUGUGGUUAGAUACAGAAACAAGACAACCUGAAGCUAAAUGGAUGCCCAGUGCAUAGUCAACAGGCCCAGCCUCACAGUGCACAGCCUGAGCUACGGCCACUCCCAGAGGCAUCUUCUACCACAGCCUCAACAUCAAGCAAAGAGCAUCAAGAGUUUGUCUUGGUUGUUUUGUUCGUUUUACAAACUAUGGAUAUAUGCAAUUGAUAACUCAGGAUUUCUAGCUAAUAACCAUGUAGUUAACACUACCUUACAAAUUAAAAAAAAAAAAAUGCCAGAAGCACCUUUAAAUGCCUUAUCACACUAACAGCAAAGCACACAGAGUGAGGAGAGCAUGAAGUUGCCUUUUCAUUUUAAAAAUAUUUGGAAAUAUGUACAACUUUGAUAUAGUUUCAGGGUGCUCUAGACCCACUUGACCACUUCAUGUAAAGAGUUUCUAGUUUGAGAAACAACAAUAUGAUCAUAAUCAAACUUUGUAAUUAAAACUAAUGAGGGCAACAGAUACUUCUCAAAUAAGAGAUGUGUCAAUUACAGCUCUCCCCUACUUCAAGGCAGGUGUCCCCAACCCCUGGGCCAUAGAUAGAUACCAGUCAGUGGCCUGUUAGGAACCAGGCCACACAGCAGGAGGUGAGUGGCAAGUGAGCAAAGCUUCAUCUGUAUUUACAACCACUCCCCAUGGCUCACAUUACCAUCUGAGCUCCGCCUCCUGUCAGAUCAGCAGCAGCUCUCAUAGGAGAGCAAACCCUGUUGUAAACUGUGCAUACGAGGGAUCUAGUUUACCUGCUUCUUAUGAGAAUCUAACUAAUGCCUGAUGAUCUGUCACUGCCUCCCAUCACCCCCAGAAAGACUGUCUAGUUGAAGGAAAACAAGCUCUGGGCUCCCACUGAUUCUACGUUAUGAGGAAUUUCUCAAGAUUUUAUCUUUACUGAUUGAUUUCUAAGGGAUGCUACUUGCUUCUAACAUCAUGUUAAUCAGCAAUGUAAGCUCUGGCAUAGCUUACCAACCCUAAGAGUGGCAGGGAGUUGCUCUGUGUAAUGGUGGAGUACUCAGCUGUCUUCUCCAUGGUGGUUGAGUUCUCUGGAUGGGAUCAGCUUUCUUCACAUGUCACUGAAGUGAAAGGGGACAAUUGAAACCUAUUUUGACAGGUUUAAAAGCUAAAGCCAAGCCAGGAAGAGGAAGACAAGAUGAGAAACCCCAAAUCAAGGUAAGAGAAGAAAAUAAGUGCAACAUGCCAGAAAUCCAGUAAAGCAGUUCAAGUAUCAGAAGAGCGUGAAUCAAAACCAAGUGCAAGAAGAGGCACCUUGACAUUGAACUGAAGGCCACCAGGUACUCACUGGGUCAAUGACUCUUCUCAUUUUUAUUCUCCUGCCAGUGCUUCCAAUCGCUGAACUGAACUGGGAACAAAUCAACAAGGGAAACCAAGAGAUGCAUUCCUUGAAGUUCAGCCUCCAGGCCUCAAGUAAGGCAGAGGAAGAGAAUACAUAGAUCUGUGGAGAAGAGUGGUGAUGGUGGGAGCUGCCAAUAAAGAACUAUCAAAAAAGGAUGAUGCAACAGAAAAGCCGUCACCAGAUACCAGCACCUUAAUGUUGGACUUCUCAGCCUCCAGAACUGAGACCUCAAGGCACAAAGCAAAAGAAGAAUGAAUUUCAUCAUGGGAAUAUACAAAGCAAGGCAUUAACAUCUAUAGUUAAAUAAGUCAGCAUCAAACUUCUUGCUGUACCACCCACCAUUUCACACAGUUCAGCUAGCUGACUCGUUCAUACUUUAAGGCUAAUCAGAAUAAAUUAAUGAUUCAUCACUAAUAAAGAUGCAGAGUGUGUACCUUUAUUCUUCAGUAGGGUAACGUGACCCUUCUGAGUACUUCUGGAGCAAAUGUGUAUGAAGUGCUAGGUUUUUUGUCACUAAGUCUAUGUACUCAGAAAAGACACAAAUUUUCAGUAUUCUGGUUUACCACUUGCCAGGCAAAGGAAACUGUAAAUAAAUGUUUCACCACAUAUUUAUGUGAAAAAAAUUAAUUGGUGGAUGGGCUUUGUUGUGAUUCUUAAUAAUAAUGAAUCAUAGUUUUACACAUAUAGUAGGAUGAAGCAUUUGAGAUUUGAUUCUAGCAUUUCUGUCUAUGUGUUUAUAAUUUAUCCAAUGGAAGUAUUAAAAGAAAAGCUUUUUGGGAGGCCUUAUUUGAGUUCAGAAGUCUCACACGCACUUCUGUCAAGUGAUGUAAUAGGAAUGUGUUUAAGAUCAGCAGAUGAUAUAUUGAGUGUAAACAUAAUGUGCUCAUGAUGAAAGCCAAAACACUAAUUUAAUUGAUUGGAAGAAAACAGAAAUUCACCAGGAGUCAAAAUCCCAAAUAAGAGGUCCGUGUUUUCAAGGCUUAUUUUAAUAGUAUUAACUACUUCAACAAAUUAUUUUUCUUUGCUUUUUUCCAUUCACUUAAAAAUAUUUAAUGGUUUUAUUGAACUAUAUUUUACAUAUAAAAUUCGCCCGUUGAAAAUAUGCAACUUGAUGAUUUUUAGUAAAAUUUAGAAUUGUGCAAAUAUGAUAGAUUCCAUUUUAGAUAAUUUCUGUCAUUCUAAAAAGAUCUUUAAUGUCCAUUUUUAGUGAAAUCUGCUCCCACCCCCAGUCCCAGCAAACACUGAUAAAAUUUUCAUCUACUUAUUUUUGCUUUUCCUAGAAAUUUCAUAUAAAAAGUGUGGUUUGCAAAAUAAAAUCCCCUGCACUUGUGAAUGUUAUAUCACAUUGGAAAGGGGACUUCGCCAACGUAAAUUGCGUACAAAUGCGGAGAUUAUCCAGGACUAUCUGGAUGGGCCCAAUGUAAUCAAUUCAGCCCUUAAAAGCACAGAAACUUUCUCAGCUGGGUCAGAGAGAUACAAUAAUGGAAGAAGAGUCAGAGAGAUGCAAUGCAAGAAAGACUCAGUCUGCCAUUGAUGGCUUUGAAGUUAGAGGAAGGGAGCCAUGAGUCAAGAAAUGGAGGGGACCUCUAGAAGGGAACAGUCAGAGAAAUAGAUUACCCUCUAGAGCCUCCAGAAAGAGACACGGCCCUGUCAAUUUAGCUUAGUGAGACCCAUGUCAGGCUUAUGGCCUCCAAAAUGAUAAGAUAAUACAUUUGUAUUGUUUUAUGUCAUUAAGUUUGUAGGAAUUAUUAUGGUAGCAAUAUAAAACUCAUAGAAAUGACUUCUUUCAUUUUGUAUUAUUUUGAGAUGCAUUCAUUUUGUUGCAUGGAUCAUUCUAUUUUAUUGCUGAGUAUCAUUCUAUUGUAUUGACACCAAACUUUGUUUUUCCAAUCACCUGUUGGUGGGCAUUUGGGUCGUUUCCAGUUUUUGGCUAUUGUAAGUGAUGAUUUUAUAAACAUUUAUGUACAAAUCUUUUUGUGGAUAUCUAAAUAUAUGAUUCUGUUUCUCUUGGAUAAAUACCUAAGAUUAGAAUUGCUGAGUCAUAUGGUAAAGGGAUACUUAACUUUUAAAACCUCCCAAACUGUUCUUCAAAAUGGUUGUGCCAUUUUACAUCCCCACCAAUAAUGUAUAAAGGUUCCAGUUUCUCGAAAUAUUUGCCAACACUUGGUAUGGUCAGUCUUUUUGAUUCUAGUCAUUCUAGUGGGUAUAUAAUGAUAUCUCAUUGUAAUUUUAAUUUGCAUUAUCCUAAUGACUGAUGAUGUUGAGCAUGUCUUCAUUUGGUGUUU